CUGGUCCUCCUUCUGCUUCUCCUCCUGGUUCUCGUCCCGGUGACCCUUUGCCCCGGACUCCGGCCCCACCACCCAGCAGUCCGCCUUCAGGGCCCUCAGGAAGGGGCUCUCCCAGGGGGCCGAGGAGGAGGAGGAGGUGUGCUUCUCCUGCCCCGGUGCAGUCUCGGUGGAGAGGGAGGAGGAGUUCUUGCUGGGGUGGAGCCAGGCCUCCAGGAUGGCCUGGACCUGACAGGAGGAGGAGGAGGAGAUCAGGGUCAGCAGGAGGUGAAAGAGGAGCAGACCUAAAGAGCACCGCCUCACACGCACUGGGGAGACAAGGUGCUGCCUGGAUCAUCUAUGGUGGAGAUGGUUCAGGGGGAGAGGGUUAAGGAGGCUGAUGGUUAAGGAGGGCGAUGGUUAAGGAGGCUGAUGGUUAAGGAGGCUGAUGGUUAAGGAGGGCGAUGGUUAAGGAGGGCGAUGGUUAAGGAGGGCGAUGGUUAAGGAGGGCGAUGGUUAAGGAGGACGUGGAGAUGGUUAAGGAGGACGUGGAGAUGGUUAAGGAGGAGAGGGUCAGGUUGUC